rfam:Daucus carota subsp. sativus cultivar DH1 chromosome 2, whole genome shotgun sequence.
AAUACAAAAUAAAGAGAAACCUGAUUCUCUUUGUUUCGAGAAACCAGAGGCACAGUAAAGAUGGCAAGAUAUCGUUUCAUUCGUCAGCUCAUUAGAUUGGCGUUUUGAUUGUUGCUUGUCCACAA